rnacentral:misc_RNA from 1 species
UCUUACUUGAUACAUCACAUUUUCAACAAACUACAAUAUAUUACCAGACAUUGAAACAGUAGCAUAUUCAAUCAACAAGUUGAGACAAUAUUGUGGACGAAUAAUAAUUAAAAUUACUAUGCUUUCUGUUAAGGAUGUAGUUCGCCAUAUGUGAUCCCCUCGACUAUCAAAUUUGUGGUCAAGCACCAAAGAAUACAUGGAUUAAGCAGAGUUCAAAGUUGAAGAGUAUUAUGCAGAGCCAUUGAUUUUUGGACCAUACCUCUCAACCCUCUCAUCAAUCCAAGCCCUCAUAUCAGCUAAAACAAUAGCAACAGCAUCG